rnacentral:rRNA from 1 species
UACGUAGGGGGCAAGCGUUGUCCGGAAUCAUUGGGCGUAAAGAGCGUGUAGGCGGCCUUACAGGUCAGCUGUGAAAACUCGAGGCUCAACCUCGAGACGUCGGUUGAAACCGUAAGGCUAGAGUCCGGAAGAGGAGAGUGGAAUUCCCAGUGUAGCGGUGAAAUGCGUAGAUAUUGGGAGGAACACCGGUGGCGAAGGCGGCCCUCUGGACCGGUACUGACGCUGAUGCGCGAAAGCGUGGGGAGCAAACGGG